CAACAGCGUAUAUUAAAGUUGUUGCAGUUAAAACGCUCGUAGUCGGAUUUCGGGGCGGGCGGGCCGGUCUGCCGAUGGGUAUGCACUGGUCUGGCCGUCCUUCCUUCCGGAGACCGUGCGUGCUCUUAACUGAGUGCGCUCGGGAGACGGAUCGUUUACUUUGAAAAAAUCAGAGUGUUUCAAGCAGGCAGCUCGCUCUUGCAUGGAUUAGCAUGGGAUAAUGAAAUAGGACUUUGGUGCUAUUUUGUUGGUUUCGAACACCGAAGUAAUGAUUAACAGGGACAGUCAGGGGCACUCGUAUUCCGCCGAGAGAGGUGAAAUUCUCAGACCAGCGGAAGACGAACCACUGCGAAAGCAUUUGCCAGGGAUGUUUUCACUG
rnacentral:rRNA from 1 species